rnacentral:rRNA from 1 species
UACAGAGGGUGCAAGCGUUGUUCGGAAUUACUGGGCGUAAAGCGUGCGUAGUCGGUCUUGUGAGUCGCGGGUGAAAUCCCCGGGCUUAACCCUGGAACUGCCUGCGAGACCUCAGUACUAGAGUGCGAGAGGGGAUAGUGGAAUACCAAGUGUAGCGGUGAAAUGCGUAGAGAUUUGGUGGAACACCGGUGGCGAAGGCGGCUAUCUGGCUCACAACUGGCGAUCAGGCACGAAAGCGUGGGGAGCAAACAGG